rnacentral:misc_RNA from 1 species
GAAAUGCGAUAAGUAGUGUGAAUUGCAGAAUUCAGUGAAUCAUCGAAUCUUUGAACGCACAUUGCGCCCCUUGGUAUUCCAUGGGGCAUGCCUGUUCGAGCGUCAUUUGUACCUUCAAGCUUUGCUUGGUGUUGGGUGUUUGUCUCGCCUCUGCGCGCAGACUCGCCUCAAAACAAUUGGCAGCCAGCGUAUUGAUUUCGGAGCGCAGUACAUCUCGCGCUUUGCACUCAUAACGACGACGUCCAAAAAGUACAUUUUUUACACUCUUGACCUCGGAUCAGGUAGGGAUACCCGCUGAACUUAAGC